GACGAACGCUGGCGGCGUGCUUAACACAUGCAAGUCGAGCGAGGCCCUCCUUCGGGGGGUGCCCUAGCGGCGAACGGGUGAGUAACACGUGGGCAACCUGCCCUCAGCUCUGGGAUAACUCCAAGAAAUUGGUGCUAAUACCGGAUGUGACCGCUGACCGCAUGGUCUGGUGGUGGAAAGAUUUAUCGGCUGAGGAUGGGCCCGCGGCCUAUCAGCUUGUUGGUGGGGUCACGGCCCACCAAGGCGACGACGGGUAGCCGGCCUGAGAGGGUGACCGGCCACACUGGGACUGAGACACGGCCCAGACUCCUACGGGAGGCAGCAGUGGGGAAUAUUGCGCAAUGGGCGAAAGCCUGACGCAGCGACGCCGCGUGAGGGAUGACGGCCUCGG
rnacentral:rRNA from 1 species